rfam:Nicotiana attenuata strain TT chromosome 6, whole genome shotgun sequence.
UGGACAAUUAUUGUAUUCGACUGUAUUCACAGCGUGAAACAGGGGAUUACACUGUUUUUAAACGGAAAGUGAAUCAAUUAACAUAAUAGACUCCU